rnacentral:rRNA from 1 species
GACAGAGGCCUCGAGCGUUAGGCGGAAUCACUGGGCUUAAAGCGUGUGUAGGCGGGCCCGUAAGUGUCUUGUGAAAUGCCGCGGCUCAACCGUGGAACUGCCUCAGAUACUGACGGCCUCGAGGGAGGUAGGGGCGUGCGGAACUGUAGGUGGAGCGGUGAAAUGCGUUGAUAUCUACAGGAACUCCGGUGGCGAAAGCGGCGCGCUGGACCUCUUCUGACGCUGAGGCGCGAAAGCUAGGGGAGCAAACGGG